UUUGAUUUCACUUUCGGUGGCUCCCAUGGAGAUGCCCAGAAUUUCGUAUAGCGACGGAGGAGAAAUGACAGCCGACGGAGAGGUUGCAACGUAGAGGGUCUCGGCGGUGGCGUAAAGGGUGGCGGAUGGAGGUGGAGUGCGAGGUGAUCGGAUGCUAGGAGAAGUUGGAGACUGUAGAGUGCCGGUGGUGGAGUGAAGUGCUUGUCGCGGCGGUGGUCGGAGGCGGAGGGAAUUGGGAGUAGAUACGGGGGAAAACAUGAUGGAUAGUGUGUGGUUGCU
rnacentral:lncRNA from 1 species